rnacentral:rRNA from 1 species
AUGAUUACUAAUGCCCAAAAAAGUGUCAUGUUACUGGAUUUGGCUUCUGAUCUGAUACCUAAUGGGGUAGCAGUUCUUCAAUACGCUGACGAUACUAUUAUUUUCUUAGAACAUGACUUUGACAAAGCAGUUAACUUGAAGAUGCUUCUUUACAUCUUCGAACUGAUGUUGGGGCUUAAGGUGAAUUUCCACAAAAGUGAGAUUCUUACUAUUGGGGGUAAUGAAAAUGUGACGAGCAUGUAUGCGGAUUUGUUUAACUGCGAGGUGGGUAGCUUCCCUAUUAAGUAUCUGGGGAUGCCUAUUAGCUACACCUCUCUCAGGAACUCAGACUGGGAAUUCAUCGUGGCCAAGUAUCUGAAAAUAUUUGGAGCUUGGAUUGGUAGUGCAGCCUCAAUGGGGGGAGGCUAA